rnacentral:rRNA from 1 species
GAUGAACGCUGGCGGCGUGCCUAACACAUGCAAGUCGAGCGAUUCUCUUCGGAGAAGAGCGGCGGACGGGUGAGUAACGCGUGGGUAACCUGCCCUGUACACACGGAUAACAUACCGAAAGGUAUGCUAAUACGAGAUAAUAUGCUUUUAUCGCAUGGGAGAAGUAUCAAAACUUUUGCGGUACAGGAUGGCCCCGCGUCUGAUUAGCUAGUUGGUAAGGUAACGGCUUACCAAGGCGACGAUCAGUAGCCGACCUGGGAGGGUGAUCGGCCCAAUUGGAACUGAGACACGGUCCAAACUCCUACGGGAGGCAGCAGUGGGGAAUAUUGCACAAUGGGCGAAAGCCUGAUGCAGCAACGCCGCGUGAGCGAUGAAGGCCUUCGGGUCGUAAAGCUCUGUCCUCAAGGAAGAUAAUGACGGUACUUGAGGAGGAAGCCCCGGCUAACUACGUGCCAGCCGCCGCAGUAAUAC